GCACCAGCAAAAUCUGGUGUCGGGAUUAGCCUCCCGGAAAUGCACAAGGCGACAUAUAGACGCGCCAGCGUCUUUUUU
rnacentral:sRNA from 1 species